rnacentral:lncRNA from 1 species
CGGCAUCGUGAUGGCUCACGAUUUGGCAUUGUCCUUGGCUGCUGCUGGUAACCCUCCCAGGGCCACCUGCUGAUGCUGCCUUGAAGACACCUGUCGCCUAUUGCACACCUUUGUGUGGCCGUGUUCGAACCCGCCCACUACUGUCUUACUUCACGGAAGCUUCUGCACGCGUUCACUCAAUCAGCUGAUCCUUUACCCCAUAGCACACGAGCCACAGGACUGCAGAUCCUUUUUCUAGAGCAGAUGCCUGUCAUUUACAAGGUGUCGGAGGGGACAGUGCUAUCCCCCACUCCCAACUCUCGAGAGGAUGCAACCAGAUGACACACACACCGUGUGCAGCCCAAGGCCAGGUGUCUACGAGAUGGCACUGGUACAUCAAGGAAAUAAGAAGCUUCUGAUGGACAUCAUUUUCCAUGAAAGCCUUUUGCUUCUCCUCCAAAUCUUAUCAUUAUACAUGGCUUCUCAGAUAUACACGAUAAUGGAAUCCGGCUGUCGGAGUCAGCCUGGUCUUGUCUGUGGAGCUGCUUGGUUUGAGGCCUGCAGGAAACCAAGCUCAAGGAGAAGGAGCAGUGGCGUGGGGAAGGUGUUCUGCAUGGCUGAAUCCGUGGGUCCUGAGCCCUCGAGCUCUGGACCACGUAGCAGAGCUUUGGGGAAUCACGGUGCUCUAUGGAGAUCCCUGAUGAGUGAACACCCUUCAGUAAGACCAGGAGAUGCCAACUUAAUUGUUUGUGUGAAAGAUACCAUCUGAAAUACAUAUGAUGUAGACAGUGCAUAAGAGAAAACAGAAAUACAGAGAAUAGAUGUGGACACUCUCUCAUCCCACGAGAGGGAAACAGUACCACUGUCACCGCUCACAGUGAAGGAGGGCCAUCGCUGGGCCAUGGGGUGGGACACACCGGGGGAAAUGAGGCACGCUGCUGGAAACACACCGCUAGCCAGUGCCAGGCACACGGCGACUGUCGAAUAAGUGGCUGAGGAAAGGGAGCCCCACGCCGAAUGCCGUUCCCAGUUCUCUGGGCAGAGGCUGGUCCCGACAAGUCAGGCUGGGAG